GACAGAUGGUACAAAACAGAGCACCUCAGCUUCCUAAAAAAUUAACCCAGCUUUGAACAUCUGGAAGCACAGAAUGCUGAAAAAAAAGAGGCUUUGUGCAGAGUUUUCAAACAGUUGGGAGGACACACACGUUCUGGUAUAAGGGCAGAACUGGUUGGAUGUGAGAUGCAGUGGAUAAGAGAGAAGUGGCACUCAAUUCUGCCUUUUAAGGAAUAUCCUAAUUGACAGAUCACUUCUCAAAUUGUGCUUCCAGGCAGAGAAGUAAAAGAAAUGGGAACAACUGUGAAGGUUCCCUGUCUUUACUGUCCUUCUACAGAAUUUUGUGAGGCCAUUUCUGUAGAUUUCAGCACAGAAGAGGAUUAACUGCAGCACAGGAACAGAAAUGAACAGUCAGCAUCUAAAGGAAAUACAAGAACUUCUAUGCCUAUUGUCAGAGAAAAAUGUCAGCUGGAUCAGUUAAGAAAAAGUCAGUGGUGGUGCAGAUGGUGAUGACAGCUCAUACAGAAAUGCUGCUAGAUUUCUAACCAUUGCCUCCAAAUACUGAUUUCAAACUGCAGUGCUAUAAUGACAGCAUAAAUGAAGUGGCAUCAAGAGUUUCCUCAAAUUUUUCCUGUGCUUGGAACCCUCUGGGGUCCGUGUGGAGCCUUUGACGCUGUUAACAAUUUCAAUCUGCACCAUUACAGCUGCAUUUUCCAACCGUCCCCUGGUAAUUGUUGCAAGGACUUAGACAAGGUUGUUCCCAAAUUACGCUGGUGUCGUGCUGGAAUGAGAUCAUCUCAGUUCAACCACCACUCAAAACAUCACUCUUACCCACAAAAAUCACUGGCUUUCACUCUCUCAAAGGUACAAAAGCUUCCUCCAGCCAUGCUUCUUUUCCAGGUGGAAGAUGAAAGAAAGGAACAGAUAGAGUCAACCACCUAAGCGUCAUAAGGCUAAAUAUUUGUUCACUUGCUUGAGAUGCAGUAAGUCCUGGAGUGCUCUCUGUUUACCCAAGAGGAUUUCAGCAUAGAGGCUUGCUCCAGAAAGGUUAAAGCCAAUGAGCUAAAACCAUGUGCAUUUGGUGGACAGUUGUUCCGCAAAGAUGACUGACAGAAGAAAGGCAAAAAAUACAAGCACAGCAGCAUGGCACAGCAGAAACCGGCUCAUUGGAGAUGGGAAAUGGACAGAACAGUAGUAGUUAUGCUUAUUUUUAUAUUUUUGACAUUAUUUUAUUUAUUAAAAGAUUUAAAAAAUCA